rnacentral:rRNA from 1 species
AACGAACGCUGGCGGCAGGCCUAACACAUGCAAGUCGAACGAUGCCUUCGGGCAGAGUGGCGCACGGGUGAGUAACACGUGGGAACGUACCUUUUGGUGGGGGAUAACAUCGGGAAACUGAUGCUAAUACCGCAUACGCCCUUCGGGGGAAAGAUUUAUCGCCGAAAGAUCGGCCCGCGUCCGAUUAGCUAGUUGGUGAGGUAAUGGCUUACCAAGGCUCCGAUCGGUAGCUGGUCUGAGAGGAUGAUCAGCCACACUGGGACUGAGACACGGCCCAGACUCCUACGGGAGGCAGCAGUGGGGAAUAUUGGACAAUGGGCGGAAGCCUGAUCCAGCCAUGCCGCGUGAGUGAUGAAGGCCUUAGGGUUGUAAAGCUCUUUCACCCACGACGAUGAUGACGGUAGUGGGAGAAGAAGCCCCGGCUAACUUCGUG